rnacentral:rRNA from 1 species
CCCUUAGAUGUUCUGGGCCGCACGCGUGCUACACUGAGUGGAUCAGCGGGUCAGGUUGCGCGAAAGCGUUUCCUAAUCUUUAAAUCCGCUCGUGAUGGGGAUUGACGGUUGCAAUUUUCUGCCAUGAACGAGGAAUACCUUGUAAGCGCGGGUCAUCAUCCCGCGCUGAAUACGUCCCUGCCCUUUGUACACACCGCCCGUCGCUCCUACCGAUUGAGUGGUCCGGUGGGGCUUUGGGAUCUGAGCGGAAAGAGCGUUUCGCUGUUUCUGCUCGGAAAACUCAGUCGAACCUUAUCAUUUAGAGGAAGGAGAAGUCGUAACA